rnacentral:rRNA from 1 species
CCCUUAGAUGUUCUGGGCUGCACGCGCGCUACACUGAAGCUAUCAACACGUUUUCCCUCUCUGAGAAGGGCGGGUAACCUUUUGAAUCAGCUUCGUGGUAGGGAUCGGGGCUUGUAAUUGUUCCCCGUGAACCAGGAAUUCCUAGUAGACGCGAGUCAUAAGCUCGCAUCGAUUAAGUCCCUGCCCUUUGUACACACCGCCCGUCGCUACUACCGAUUGAACGUUUUAGUGAGGCAUUUGGACCGACGCAUCUCAGUUUAACCGCUGGUUUGUGUUGGAAAGACUUCCAAACUUGAGCGUUUAGAGGAAGUAAAAGUCGUAACA